AUGCAAGCGCAAUGGCAAAUUUAAAUGAUCUAUUUAUGUGGUUCCUCUUUUUGGACAGAGUAUAUAGCAGGCAGCUGUGACUUCAGCUGGGAGAUUUGCAGAGGCUCACCUGGACAAAUAAACCAGGAUUGUUUCUUAACAGGUUGGUAUUUGCAUAUUUUUAUAUAAAUCUUUGGUUAUCAUCUGUUUAAGUUAAAUCUUUAGUCUUCUUGUAUUUCUUAAGACAAGUAACAGAUGAGAUUUUUUUCGUAUAAACUAGUAUAAGAAAACUCUCCACCAUAAGAUUUUUGGAACUAUGAUUUUACAACGCUUUGUUGUAUAUAUGUACAGCAGGACAACAUUCUCAAUGAGAUUGCCAUGUGGCCAACUCUCAUUUCAGAUAAUAAAAUAUAUCUUCUGCCUUA